rnacentral:rRNA from 1 species
UACGAGGGGGGCAAGCGUUGUUCGGAAUUAUUGGGCGUAAAGGGCGCGUAGGCGGUGCGGUAAGUCACCUGUGAAAACUCUGGGCUCAACCCAGAGCCUGCAUCUAAAACUGGAGUGCUAGAGUUCUGGAGGGGGUAGCGGAAUUCCUGGUGUAGCGGUGAAAUGCGUAGAUAUCAGGAGGAACACCGGUGGCGAAGGCGGCUACCUGGACAGAAACUGACGCUGAGGCGCGAAAGCUAGGGGAGCAAACAGG